AGAGUUGAUCCUGGCUCAGAACGAACGCUGGCGGCGUGGAUUAGGCAUGCAAGUCGAACGCGAAAGAGGGGGCAACCCCUCGAGUAGAGUGGCGAACGGGUGAGUAACGCGUGAAGAACCUGCCCUCAGCAGGGGGGAUAACACUCCCAACGGGGUGCUAAUACCGCAUGAGACCACGGGACCACAUGGUUCCGAGGUCAAAGGUGGCCUCUGCUUGCAAGCUACCGGCUGAGGAUGGCUUCGCGUCCCAUUAGCUAGUUGGCGGUGUAACGGACCACCAAGGCGACGAUGGGUAGCUGGUCUGAGAGGAUGGUCAGCCACACUGGGACUGAGAUACGGCCCAGACUCCUACGGGAGGCAGCAGUCGAGAGGCUUCGGCAAUGGGGGAAACCCUGACCGAGCGACGCCGCGUGGAGGAUGAAGGCCCUUGGGUUGUAAACUCCUUUUGUCGGGGAAGAAGUGCGACCAGGUGAACAAUCUGGUCGUUUGACGGUACCCGGCGAAUAAGCUCCGGCUAACUCCGUGCCAGCCGCCGC
rnacentral:rRNA from 1 species